rnacentral:rRNA from 1 species
GAUGAACGCUGGCGGCGUGCUUAACACAUGCAAGUCGAACGAAGCACUUUAUUUGAUUUCCUUCGGGACUGAUUAUUUUGUGACUGAGUGGCGGACGGGUGAGUAACGCGUGGGUAACCUGCCUUGUACAGGGGGAUAACAGUUGGAAACGGCUGCUAAUACCGCAUAAGCGCACGGCAUCGCAUGAUGCAGUGUGAAAAACUCCGGUGGUAUAAGAUGGACCCGCGUUGGAUUAGCUAGUUGGUGAGGUAACGGCCCACCAAGGCGACGAUCCAUAGCCGACCUGAGAGGGUGACCGGCCACAUUGGGACUGAGACACGGCCCAAACUCCUACGGGAGGCAGCAGUGGGGAAUAUUGCACAAUGGGCGAAAGCCUGAUGCAGCGACGCCGCGUGAGCGAAGAAGUAUUUCGGUAUGUAAAGCUCUAUCAGCAGGGAAGAUAAUGACGGUACCUGAAGAAGAAGCACCGGCUAAAUACGUG